CCAAACACAACAUUCCUAGUUGAGUCUCAGAUCAGAGGGCCAUAAGGACCUUUAAGGCUCAGUACAACAGGGUACUUUAGGGAAAGGUUGUUACUGCUAUUGAAGAGAACCCCGAUAGAACAUUAUGAAAGUCUGUAAGGUUUACACCACUGAAGAUUCCAUCAUUGUUAUAGAAAAAGCCAUGAAAGCCACCAAGCCUGAAAUAAUAAAUUGUUGAUGAAGCAAACUAUCCAGAUGUUGUGCGUGACCACACAGAGCCAGUCAAGGAAAUGAUGAAAAGAUUAUGGAUAUGGCAAAAAAGGUGGGGAGUGAAGGGUUUCAAUAUACAGAUCUUAGAGAAAUUCAAGAGCUAAUAGAAACACCUUAUCAGGGGAAUUAACCGUGGAUGACUUGAUGGAGAUGAGUGCUUCCAAAAUGGUGCCAGGUAGAAAAGACAUAGUAGUGCCAGAAAACAAAUUGACAUUAGACAAUCUAGCAGAAGGAUUCUGAUUAUUCAAGACUACUUUUGACUUAUUUUACAACAGAAAUUACAAAGUAUCUCCAUUAAGUUACACUGAUUAUGCCUGCCUUUCCUGUCUCCCGUUCUACCUCUGCCACCCCUGGAACUGCAAGACCAACUCUCCUCUUCCUUCUCAGUCUACUCAGUGUGAAGAUAAGGAUGGAGACAUUUAUGAUGAUCCACUUCCACUUAAUGAAUAGCUUGUGCAGACAUAAGAGCCAGUUCAGUGUUUUGGCAGCAAAUGGAGUUCGUUGAUAGCCUGCAUGGCCAACCCAAGAUGCCAGAAUGGUUAUCUACACACCCUUCUCAUGGCAAUCGAGUUGAGUACUUGGAUAGACUUAUACCUCAGGCUCUCAAAAUUAGAGAGAUGUGUAAUUGUCCACCACUGUCUAAUCCAGACCCUCGAUUACUAUUCAAACUCAGCACGAAGCAUUUUCUUGAAGAAUCAGAGAAAGAAGACCUAAAUAUCACGAAGAAACAGAAAAUGGAUACUCUUCCUAUUCAAAAACAGGAGCAAAUACCAUUAACAUACAUAGUUGAGAAAAGAACGGGCAGUUGAAUUAAAAUUUAUGAGACACAAGAUAUAUGAAGAAUGUUGCAGUCCUUAUCAUUUUAUGUUACUUUUUAAAAAAUGAUGUUUGAAGUG
rnacentral:lncRNA from 10 species